CAGCAAUGCCGCGUGGGUGAAGAAGGUCUUCGGAUCGUAAAGCCCUUUCGGCGGGGACGAUGAUGACGGUACCCGCAGAAGAAGCCCCGGCUAACUUCGUGCCAGCAGCCGCGGUAAUACGAAGGGGGCUAGCGUUACUCGGAAUUACUGGGCGUAAAGGGCGCGUAGGCGGCGCUCCAAGUUAGGCGUGAAAGCCCUGGGCUCAACCUGGGGACUGCGCUUAAGACUGGAGUGCUAGAGGAUGGAAGAGGGUUGUGGAAUUCCCAGUGUAGAGGUGAAAUUCGUAGAUAUUGGGAAGAACACCGGUGGCGAAGGCGGCAACCUGGUCCAUUUCUGACGCUGAGGCGCGAUAGCGUGGGGAGCAAACAGGAUUAGAUACCCUGGUAGUCCACGCCGUAAACGAUGUGCGCUGAAUGUUGGGGUUCCUAGAACCUCAGUGUUGUAGCUAACGCGGUAAGCGCACCGCCUGGGGAGUACGGCCGCAAGGUUGAAACUCAAANGAAAUUGACGGA
rnacentral:rRNA from 1 species